UAGCGACAGGCUUAACACAUGCAAGUCGAGGGGCAGCGGGGGCGAAGCUUGCUUCGCCUGCCGGCGACCGGCGCACGGGUGAGUAACACGUAUGCGACCUGCCCCCCGCAGGGGGAUAACCGGGAGAAAUCCCGACUAAUACCGCGUAACGCCGCUGGGCUGCAUGGCCCGGCGGCCAAAGGAAGCGAUUCCGGCGGGGGAUGGGCAUGCGGCGCAUUAGCUAGUCGGCGGGGUAACGGCCCACCGAGGCGACGAUGCGUAGGGGUUCUGAGAGGAAGGUCCCCCACACUGGUACUGAGACACGGACCAGACUCCUACGGGAGGCAGCAGUGAGGAAUAUUGGUCAAUGGGCGGGAGCCUGAACCAGCCAAGUCGCGUGAGGGAAGACGGUCCUACGGAUUGUAAACCUCUUUUGCCGGGGAGCAACGGGGUCCUUGCGAGGGCCCGAUGAGAGUACCCGGAGAAAAAGCAUCGGCUAACUCCGUGCCAGCAGCCGCGGUAAUACGGAGGAUGCGAGCGUUAUCCGGAUUUAUUGGGUUUAAAGGGUGCGUAGGCGGGCUGUUAAGUCAGCGGUCAAAUGUCGGGGCUCAACCCCGGCCUGCCGUUGAAACUGGCGGCCUCGAGUGGGCGAGAAGUAUGCGGAAUGCGUGGUGUAGCGGUGAAAUGCAUAGAUAUCACGCAGAACUCCGAUUGCGAAGGCAGCAUACCGGCGCCCGACUGACGCUGAGGCACGAAAGCGUGGGUAUCGAACAGGAUUAGAUACCCUGGUAGUCCACGCAGUAAACGAUGAAUGCUAGCUGUCCGGUUCUACGGGACUGGGUGGCACAGCGAAAGCGUUAAGCAUUCCACCUGGGGAGUACGCCGGCAACGGUGAAACUCAAAGGAAUUGACGGGGGCCCGCACAAGCGGAGGAACAUGUGGUUUAAUUCGAUGAUACGCGAGGAACCUUACCCGGGCUCAAACGCCAAAGGACAGCCGUUGAAAGGCGGCCUCCCUCCGGGGUCUUUGGCGAGGUGCUGCAUGGUUGUCGUCAGCUCGUGCCGUGAGGUGUCGGCUUAAGUGCCAUAACGAGCGCAACCCCCAUCGACAGUUGCUAACGGGUAGAGCCGAGGACUCUGUCGAGACUGCCGGCGCAAGCUGCGAGGAAGGCGGGGAUGACGUCAAAUCAGCACGGCCCUUACGUCCGGGGCGACACACGUGUUACAAUGGCCGGUACAGCGGGAUGCCAGGGCGCGAGCCCGAGCGGAACCCGAAAACCGGUCUCAGUUCGGAUUGGAGUCUGCAACCCGACUCCAUGAAGCUGGAUUCGCUAGUAAUCGCGCAUCAGCCACGGCGCGGUGAAUACGUUCCCGGGCCUUGC
rnacentral:rRNA from 1 species